rnacentral:rRNA from 1 species
AGAGUUUGAUCAUGGCUCAGGAUAAACGCUGGCGGCGUGCCUAACACAUGCAAGUCGAACGCACUUAAGCAAUUAAGUGAGUGGCGGACGGGUGAGGAACACGUGGGUUAUCUACCUUGAGGUGAGGAAUACCGGCGAGAAAUCGCCGACAAUACCGCAUAACCUUCUCACGAAGGAAAGCUUAGCAAUGAGCGCCACAA